rnacentral:lncRNA from 1 species
AAAUUUCCGAUGGUAAUAUGAAAGGAUAAGCACAAUCACGAAACGGAAAGUUAAACUUAAAAGUUUGUAGAUAGCAUAGGCUUGAUAUCGAUAGAGGAAUGUCUAUUAUUGAUGAGGGAACAGCUUUUAACGAUCCUCGAUACUGCUUUAAGCAAGGAUAAAAACACAAAGAUAGGUAUCUCAAAUGAAUUAGAGAAAGUACUCCACUGGGAAAAAUUGGGUAUAUAUUCAAACCAAGAUCUAGUACUCUUACUAGCUUGAAAGACAAUUCCAGUGUGAAGCAUUUCAAUCCACCCAACAUGAUAAUAGAAUGAGCCUCACUGUUACGACACCAAGCCAAUUCUUCCUUCUUAUAGAUACUGAUCCGACUUCGACUCUUAAAGGAACACUGCAUGGAUUGUGCACAUGAAUUUUGAUCACUCUUUCCUCUGAUAACAUUCACAAAAUUCAUGUUUCGAGCUUCCCUCAAACAGAGUUCACGGAUCACAUCAUGCAUUCCACAUCUCUCUAUUUCCCCAUCAAAACUCAAAUUGUGGAUAGAAAUUAGACUUCUAUCUACAAGUUCGUUUAUACAUGUUUCUGCCACCUCUUCUAUGCUUUUUCCUUCUUCUUCAUUCAAAAACCCCUCUACGGCCCAUAACUCAACAAGUGCAUUUACAUAAAUCCGUUCAUCCUCUGCGAAAAUUGCAAAAUACAGAAAACACGGUUUUAGGUGAGAAGGCAAGUGAUGGUAACUCAAAGCCAACACUCUCAUGCAUUUUGCUUCAAGAUCUCUGCUUACCACCGAACUUACAUUCUCCGCAACAUUUUGCCACUCAUCCAAUGUUUUACUGAUUUUGGAGAGAAGUCCAGCAAUCAAAGUAAUUUCUAGAGGUAACCCUCCACAUUUUAAUGCAAUUUGUUUCCCAAUAUUUUCAAAUUCAGGAGAAUAAGAACCUUCUUUUUCAAAGAUCUUUUUGUGUAGUAAAUUCCAACUUUCGUCAAAAUUCAUGAGGCGCAUNNNNNNNNNNNNNNNNNNNNNNNNNNNNNNNNNNNNNNNNNNNNNNNNNNNNNNNNNNNNNNNNNNNNNNNNNNNNNNNNNNNNNNNNNNNNNNNNNNNNNNNNNNNNNNNNNNNNNNNNNNNNNNNNNNNNNNNNNNNNNNNNNNNNNNNNNNNNNNNNNNNNNNNNNNNNNNNNNNNNNNNNNNNNNNNNNNNNNNNNNNNNNNNNNNNNNNNNNNNNNNNNNNNNNNNNNNNNNNNNNNNNNNNNNNNNNNNNNNNNNNNNNNNNNNNNNNNNNNNNNNNNNNNNNNNNNNNNNNNNNNNNNNNNNNNNNNNNNNNNNNNNNNCAUGUUCAGGUAAACUGACAAGUGAGCUAGUUUGUGGUUUUAGAUCUUUCAUGCUGUCCGAUGCUGCCAUCCACUGUUUCACGGUGGAAUCAAUGUAUUCUAGUGCUUGUUCCAAGACGAAAAAAAUCUCCCACAUAGCCCUGCUUCUUUCCUCCAAAUUCUGUGCUAAAAAAACAUUUCUUGAUUCCGAGUCAACCAUAUCUUCUGUUGUGUAUGCUACCUCUGCGAUUUCAACUUCCAAGAUUGUUAACCCCUCAUGAUCGCCCAUUAUAUUGCAGGAUUUCUCCAGAAUAGCUCUCAAAGAUUUGAGCUUUUCAUAAAACGGUUGCAAAUCACAUCCAGUAAGUUCCAUUGAUUGAUGUAUGGUUCUCAUAAGGGAAGUAACAGCAGCAUAAGCCAUAUAUCCAAAAAAUAGAAAUAUCUCUCAGUAUGAAAAUGGACAAAUUGCCACAAGUUAUGUAAUUUUUCAGUUUUUAAGAAAACAGAAAAUGCAAAGUUCUUUCUUUUACUAGCUAUUUCCAUCACAUUUCCAGCUAGGUCCACCAACCUUAUCAUCAUGUAGACAAAAGCAGAGACCAAAGUUAAAAAAAAGUAGAAAAAUUUGUGAUCAUUCAUUAUUAGACCGUACACAUAUCUAUUCAUGAAUAUAAGUAUGCUUCUUACAUACAAGAGAUUGAUGAUUUUAAUUACAUUGAAAGCAACUUAGUAGAAUUUUCCAAAUCAAAGAGAGAAAUAUUAAGAUCCAAGUAGGAAUUUCUCUAUUCCUAGUUCGAUUCAAUUAACCAAGCAUAAAUAUCUCUUAAUAUACAUGAGAAGUUUAGACUCUAAAAGUCAAAUCAACAAAAUAUUUAUGGGCUAACACAUGAAAAACUAUUGAGAAAAUCGCCUAAUUUCUGUAAAUUGGCCCUUAAAUCUCCAAAAUGAACUCUAAAAAUUGUCAGACUGUACGUAUUGCUCCCCAACUCCCUACUGAGGGUUCUGUAAAGAUUUCGAUUAGAAUUCGUCCGUAAGUCAUAUCACCAAUAUAUUAAUGACUAACACACACGAAAAACUGAGAAAAUUGUCUAAUUUCUUGAAAUUGGCCCCUAAAUGCCUAAAAUGGACUCUAAAAGUUGUGAGACUGUACGUACUGCUCCCCCGACUCCCUACAGAGGGUUUCGUAAAUGUGUAGCAAAGAAAUCGUCUGGAAGUCAUAUCACUAUAAUAUUAAUGGGCUAACACACACAAACCACUGAGAAAGUCGCGUAUUCCUGUAAAUUGGCCCCUAAAUGCCCAAAAUGAACUCUAAAAUUGUGAGACUAUGUACUGCUCCACUAACUCCCUAUGGAGGGUUCCGUAAAGAUUUCACAAAGAAAUUAUUCGGAAGACAUAUCACCAAAAUAUUUAUGGGCUAAUACAUUUUUAUUUGUCCAUUUGAUUUGACAUAUCUUUCAAGUACUUUGAUCUGGUUAUACUUUUUUUUUAUUGCUAAAAAUAAAUAUCCACUUUUACUUGUUCAUUCUACAAAACAAAGACAAUAUUUUAUUGCUUGAUUCAGAUAUAAAAUUUGAGUAGGCUAAUUUACAAACCAUCUGUAGUCAUCCUGCCCCUAUGCUAUAACAUUUGAAAGAAAGAGGUCAUCAUCAUCAUAUUCAUCAUCGUUGUCAUCUUCAUCAUCAUCUUCAUCAUCGUUGUCAUCUUCAUCAUCAUCUUCAUCUUCUUCAUCAUUAUCAUCAUCAUCAUCAUGAUCGUCAUCGUCACUUGUUUCCUCACUGUUGAAAAAGCCAGCAACAAAAGAUGAAAAAUGAAAUGUUAUGCAAGUAUAACAAGUUACACAAUUACUAUAUUGGAAGGAUUUAAAUCAUAUACAAUGACAACGUAUGAACUUUUACACUAUAGGUGCCAUUUAACUGCUUAUUAAAGCAAUUUAUAAUUAUUUUAUUACUAGUUCUGGACACGUGCUUUGCAUGUGUAUAUUACACGUUUAGUCACGAUUGUAAGAGGGUGUACACCAGGAUCAUUCGAAGAGCAAAGUCGUGUGAGCCUUACAGAUAUUCUUGACGUACUCCUAUUAAAAUCUGUAUCAUAUUCGUAACUUUUUGAAUGAGGUUCACCUUUUUCCUCAUUGUACUUUGUACAUGGAUGUUGUCCAUCACAAUAUCCCCUUUUUCAAAUUUCAUAGCUGAACUACUAGGUGUACGAGUUCCUACCAGAACUACUACCAACUAUUUAUCAAAACACACAUCAACUAUAUAUGAGUUGUUCCCUUUUACUAGUGGUGACAAAUAGGUGGAUUUGGACGGGACUGAAAAUGGAUUGAGCAACAUGGUCGUAACUCACUUAAUCUCUUAAAGCCAGAAAACUUUAAAGAGUUAAUUGAAAUAAACUUAAUGACUAUCCUACUUGAAGUAUCACCGUCGUUCAGGUAAGAAAAAGGAAGUAUAUCAAGGAAGAAGAUGUCUUACAAAGCCUGAUGGAUAUGGACCUCGAUAGAACCUCCAUAGUUGUCUUGAAUGUCCUGUUGAAUCUGCUUUGCGGAAUUCCCAACAGAUUCUGGGCAGUUUCUUAUAUAGAUUAGAGCAAGUGUGGUUAUAUCUGCAAAAUCUUGAGGGAUUGAGUCCAAAAACCUGCAACUAUCAAGAAAUAGUCGUUCAAGGCACGGAAAGUGAUCACAACUAGCUCUCCAGUACUGAAUAUGUGAUCUUUUAAGUAACAAGAACUUCAAAAAAGGAAACCCUUCCUCAGCUACUUCCCACUCCCUGCCUCUGCAUACACCCUGUGUUAGUUCAAGAAGUUCAAGUUUGGGCAAUUUUCCGACAACAAUGCUUAAAUCCUUCCAUGACAAGAAGAAAUUUCCUGUAAAAGUUAAAUUCUUAAGGUUUCGUGGAAAAGCAUCUGGAGGAGGUAAGAUCAAAGAUGGAACAACUUCUACAACAAGUGGAUUCCUUGUCUGAAAACACAUUCUCCUCUCCAAAAAGUAAGCAUUAUUUUGAGGAGGAAGACAAAAUGCUAGUUCCUCGAGAUGAUCUAAGUAGCGAAAAUCAUAGAGGUCUUUGUGACUAUGGAAGUCUUGUGGGAUGCCACGUACUUGCAACUCCUUUAAAUUGGGAAAUAGUCUAAAGAAAGAUGCAGUACAAUAGCUAGGAUUCCAUCCAAACAGAGAAUGUAAAUUUUUCAUAACCAAACUUUUCUCUGUAAGCUCAUGAUAUCGCAAGUAAUUCCGAUCCAAAUGAAGGUGCCUCAACUGUGGCAUUGUCAAAAUAUCUGAUGGUAAUAUCAAAGCAUGUUUACGAAGAUUAAUGACGAGUGGAAGGUAAAGUACCAAACUUUGCAGAUAGCAUAGGUUUGAUAUGGAUGUAGGAAUGUCUACUCUUGAUGAGAGAACAUCUUCUUCGGAUCCUAGAUAUUGCUCAACGUUAGGAUAAAUACGCAAAGCUAGGUGUCUUAAGUGAAUCAAAUAAAGUAUUUCACGGGGAAAAGUUAGACAGAUAUUAUCAGCAAGAUCUAGAACUCUUACUAGCUUGAACGGCAAGUACUCCCUCAUGCAACAUCGGAAUCUACCAAAUAAGAUAACAGAAUGAGCUUCACUGUUAAGGCACCUAACAUACUCUUUCUUAUUAUGGAUGCUGAUUCGACUUCGACUCUUAGACAAACACUGCAUGGAUUUCACAUAUGAAUUUUGAUCAUUCUUUCUUCUGAGAACAUUCACAAAAUUCAUGUUACGAGCUUCCAUCAAACAGAGUUCACGAGUCAUAUCAUGAAUUCCACAACACUUAAUUUUUCCAUCAAAAGUAGUACUUUUAAUGGAAAUUAAACUUCUAUCAAUAAGAUCUUGUAGGUACUUUUCUGCCACUUCUUCUAUGCUUUUCAUCUCUUCUACCUUCAAAAAUCCCUCUGUUUCCCACAAUAUCAUAAGUUUAUUGACAAAAAUCAGUUUAUCCUCUGGGAAGAUUGCGAAAUAUAAAAAGCAUGGUUUUAGGUGGUGAGGCAAGUAAUGGUAACUCAUUGCCAACACCCUCAUGCAUUGGACACCAACAUCUGUGCUUACUGCUGAACUUACAUUUUCAGCAACACUUUGCCACUCACUCAAUGCUUUGUCAAUUUUAGUGAGAAGUCCCGCGAUCACAACAAUUGCUAGAGGCAAUCCUCCGCAUUUCAAUGCAAUUUGCUUUCCAAGUUGUUCAUAUUCAGGGGAGAAAGAGUCUUUCGUAAAGACUUUUUCAUAUAAUAAAUUCCAACUUUCGUCAAAAUUCAUGAGGCGCAUGUGAUGAGGAAGCUUACCUGAGCUAGCAUAUUCAGCCACUUCCACAUUCCGAGUAGUCAAGAGUAUUCGGCUUCCAUUAUGAAAGUCUGGGAAACAUAUUUGUAUAUCAUCCCAAGCUUUUGUAGUCCAUAUGUCAUCAAUGACUACCAAAUAUCUCUUGCCUUUUAGAAGCUUUUGCAGUCGAUCUGCUAGUUGCCCGUCAUGUAGCUGAUCAUAAGGUUUAUCACUUAUACAAGAAAGAAGGUCUAGGAAAACAUUUCUCACACAAUACUCUUGUGAAACAGUAGCUUUUGCACGUAUGUCAAAGCGAUACAUCAUGCAUGGAUCGUUGUAGAGUUUUGUUGCCAAAGUUGUCUUGCCAAUGCCUCCCAUACCUACAAUUGAUACAACUUCUAGUUCUCUUUCUCCUCUAGCAAGUUGAUCCAGCAUCAUCUUGAAUUCAUUUUCAUAGCCAACCAUUAUAACCUCGGACCGCUCAACAGCAAGUUCAGGUAUCUUGGAUAGACAGAAAUUUUGUGCUUUGAAAUCUUUAAUGUUGUUGUACCAGUCCCAUAUUGCCAACCACUGCAUCAUGAAGGAAUCAAUACAUUCUACCUCUUGUUCCAAGGAACAACAGAGUUCCCAGAAAGCUUUGCUUCGUGUAAUUACAGUUUCUGCAGAAGAAACUUUUCUUGAUUUCGAAUCAACCAUGUCUUCUGCUUUGAAUGCUACCUCCGUGAUUUCAACUUCCAAGGUUGUUAACCCCUCAUGAUCGCCCGUUAUAUUGCAGGAUUUCUCUAGAAUAGCUCUCAAAGAUUCGAGCUUUUCAUAAAACGGUUGCAAAUCACAUCCAUUAAGUUCCAUUGAUUGGUGUAUGGUUCUCAUAAGGGAAGUAACAGCAGCAUAAGCCAUAUAUCCAAAAAAUAGGAAUCUCUCACUCUCAGUAUGAAAAUGGACAAAUUAAUUGCCACAAGUUAUGUAAUCUUUCUUUUACUAACUAUUUCCAUCACAUUUCUAGCUAGGUCCACUAACAGGAUAAAGUAGAAAGAUGUGAGGUCACUAACCUUAUCAUCAUGAAGACAAAAGAAGAGACCAAAGUUAAAAAAAAAAAAAGACGAAAAAGUAGAAAAAAUUGUGAUCAUUCAUUAUUAGACCCUACACUAAUCUCUUCAGAAAAAUAAAAUAAAAUUUUAGUUUAAAUAAAGGAAUUCAAGCUGUAUAUUGAUAACGUCCAAUUCAAAUUCAAGUGUAGUACGGUCUAGCAAUAAUAAACUCAACAAAAGUUGGAGUCGAGGAGUACGCUUGUGUCAAGGUGACAGAGAGUGUGCGAAUUUGCUAACAAACAAAAGGUCUUUCUUUUAGCUAGGUCCAUAAUCCAUGUAGUGCUCUAUACUCUCUAGUCUCUAUCAACCAGCUCAAGUUUAAGGGUGUGUUUGGUAUGGAGGAAACAUUUUCUCUAGAAUAGGGAGAGAUUUGUGCAUAAACAAGGAAGAAUCUCUCAGUAUAACAGUGAAUGGGUAUUUUUUUAAGAUUUGCUUCUUUUGUGUAUGACUUUUGUAAGAAACAUUCUGGUAAAAGUUAAAAAAAAUGAUCUUGUGGAAUAGCCACAGUGAAUUCCUUAAUAUUCGAGUAGAAAAAGCCAGAGAGGAUAACAUUGCUAUUUGUACACUUAUCGUGACACGAGUAGUCUCUUAAAUAUUACACCUUUCUACUGAUGUUGCUGAUGCCACUGGAUUUAGCCUUCCGUCUUCCUUUGCAAGGUAGAUCGAGGACUCCCAAGAAAGGAAACACAAGUUACUGGAGUCUGUUCUGGCCUAUACAGUAUGUAUGUACAUAAAAUUUGGAGUAUCUAAAAACCACUGACAAAUGGCUAUACGAAAGAUCAUAUACAAUUAAAUUACAAGCCAUUUGCAAUCAUCCUGCCCCUUUAUGCAGAAUCUUUUCAAAGAAAAUGAAAACGAACAAAACAAACACUCACACAUUUGGCUUCUGAUUUGACAUUUAUUUCAGAGAACUGGCUAGUCGCUGCAGGAAAAAAAAAGACGCAAAAAAUGGAAAAUAAUAUGUUAGAUGUCCCAUAAUUAAGGAACAAGAGAACAUUAUAGCAAGAAUGAGCAUGCAGGUAUAAGAACUUACACAUUAUUGCGGCAAGAAGCAACUUCUUUCUCAAAGUCAUCAUCAUCAUCUUCAUCUGUUGUUACACUAUCGAAAAUGCUAGCUACAAAAGAUGAAAAAUGAAAUGUUACACUUCCCAAAAUCAAGAAUGAGCAUGCAAGUAUAACAAGUUACACAAUAUUGGAAGGAUUCGAAUCAAUCACAAUGACAGCAUCAAGAACUUUUGUUGAAUUGGUGUAAUUUGACUUACUAAAGCUAUUAUCCAGAUUAUUAUCGAGUUUACUAUAAUGAUGAGUUAAAUAUUGUUGUAAAUCAAGGAAGAAGAUGUCUUACUAAAGAUUACGAGUAUGGACCUCGAUAGAGCUUCCAUAGUUGUCUUGAAUGUCCUGUUGAAUUUGCUUGGCGGAAUUCCCAACAGAUUGUUGACAGUAAUGUAUAUCAAUAAGAGCUAGUGUGGUUAUAUCUGCAAAAUCUCGAGGGAUUGAAUCCAAAUACUCGCAAUUUCUAAGAAAAAGUCGUUCAAGGUACGGAAAGUGAUCACUACUAGCUCUCCAGUACCGAAUGUAUAUUUGAUCCAGAAACAAGAACUUCAAGUGAGGAAACCCUUCCUCAACUACUUCCCACUCCUCGCCUAUGACGGCAUUGUGUGAUAGUUUAAGGACCUCGAGUUUGGGUAAUUUACCAACAAUGCUCAAAUCCUUCCAUGCCAAAAGGAAAUCUCCUCUAAAAGUUAAACUCUGGAAAAGAUUAAUUAACAAAAAUUUAUGGUACUAAUUGGGGUAUUAAUUAACAUAUCCUUACUUGAUCACAUAUGUAUUGUUCUGUGUGAAAUUUUCCUCUGACUGAUAGUUGACUAAAUUAUAUUGCAUACGUUCGUGUACAUUUUCUCACUUGGAAGAGUGGAUUUGGACGUAAUUAACUAUCACCAUCGUUUAGGUAGAAAAAAGAAAAUAACUAAUAGUUGAAUGUUUUAAUACAUAGAUGAUCAACUAAUAUGAGAAGAAAAGAGUAGCGUAAAUGUGAGAUUCACUUCUCACCAAGAAUCCUCCUUUCUUAUUAUUUUCCUUUUAGAGGUUAAUAAUUAUUAAGUAUCCCUAGAAUAAUUUAUUGAAAAAGUAGAUUUGAAAGAAAGCAAUUACUCUCUUCUUCCUAUGCGGGACUUCUUGAACAUAACUAAUUUGACAAAAACCACAAUUUUAUUUAUUUUUAGGUGGAAUUAUAUCAAUAAGGAACUAUAUAUGCUUAUGAUAUUAAUCUAAGACCAUUAUUUGUUACUUGAACACAUGGAUUCAUCAUCUGAACAAUUGAAACAAUUAAUACUUGUGUGAACCUUUUUUUAUUUCGAGUGAUGUGUCAUAAUCAUUAGCCAACUAAGACUAGCGUUAAAUUUUUGGUAAGUCUCAAGAAGUGUAAUUAAUACUUAAUAAAAUAAUCUCAUCCUUGAGAUUCAAGAACUUGUUUGGAUUGAAUAGGUUUUUAUCAUCAAGAUCUAGAACAAAGUCUUAAUAUUAGUAAGAGGUAUUUUUGUGUGAAAAGUUUUCUUUGAGGUUCGAGAAAUGGAAUAGAUAUGGACUACAAGUUGAUAUUUCCCAUUGGAAAAUUCACACAAAAAGGAACAAGGAAUUCUCAAUGAAAAAAGCGCUCUCCAAAUCUGUUUAGUAUUUGUCAUGAGGUUCUUAUCAUAAUUGGAUUUUCCUUUUAGGAAAAGGUAAACACAGUCUCCAUAUUUGUCUAGUUCUUUUUCUUGUAGGAAAAAAAUUAUGACUCUAUAAAUAGAUGUUUUGUAACAUCCGACAAUUUGAAAUAGCUAAGAAGAGGCUUGAAAUUUGGAAAUUUUCAAUUUUUGGAAAGGAUUUGAAAAUCUGGAAAAUUUGGCUAAGUAUGGGAAAGGUGAGUUUUUUUGGGCCCAAACUUUGAACAACCAUAAAUUCUAGCUCAGGAUGAGUUAGGUGGAGUUCCGGUUAUGUUUGCAUAGCCCUCGGAACGACCUUUCCAACGCCACUGAGUUUGCUCAAUUCUGAGUUCGUAUGAGCGAGUUAUGGCCAUUGAAAGUUGGGCAGUUGGCAGGGAAUCCGUCCGGAAAAUUAAGGGCAUUUUAGUCUUUUCCCUAGCCAAUUCUUUUGGGAUUAUAUUGUUGUAUAGGGCUGAUCUUUAGAUCAUUUUGUCCCAUUUUAAGAAAUUAAAAUCUAGGGCUUGAGAGUGAAGAAGAGAAGAAGGAGAAGAAGAAGAGAAAAAUCGAGGAGAUCAACAAGUUUCCGACAAGAUCAUCGUGAAUGUUCGUCGGGGGUGAUCCCUAUCAAGGUAUGUGAGCUUUUAGUGUUGGGUGAUACUUUCCCCCACACACCUAGCCCCUUUUAUUUAUUAAGGAAGGAUUGGUUAUGUUGUUAAAGUUGUUAGUUGUUGUGGUUGAAGUUGUUGGAGUUGUUAAAGUUGUUAGUUGUUGUUGUUGGAAUUAUUGUUGGUGGUGGGACAUAAUUGAGUUGUGUUUUUAUGUUGAAAUCUAUUGAAUGUUGAGGGAUUUUAUGUUUCUAAGUGAUUGGGGGCUGGAAUCUUUGAGGUUAGAGGGUUUAGAGUUGGUAACGUGAAGGAGAAAGUCGGGUAGCUUGCGAGGAGCAUGUCUGCGUCGCGGACUUGUUCCUCUGUGAACAAAAAAUCUUCUCCGCGUCGCGGACAGGACGCAGACUCCACUGUUUUCAGAAUUUAUGUUCGAAGAUUUUCUUAGGUUUGGCUGUCCCAAAUCAUUCGCAAAUCAUUCCUAAACAUCAUGAGACCCUUCCAAACACCAAUCAAGUCCUUGAAUCCAUAAUCCAAUUCAAGGUGAGUUAUGAUCAAGUCAAGUGAAGUUAGUUUUCAAGUCAAGUGAAGUUAGAAGUCAAGUGAAGUUAGAGCCAAGCUUAGAAGUUAAGCAAGUCAAAGCAAGUCUUUAAAGCUUUUCAAGAGUCUUCAUUGAACGUUUUGACUUCAUUCUAAGGCUCAAGUUCCAAGUUAAGUAUAGAGUUUCAAGUCAAGCAAAGAGUCUCAAGUUUCAAGUUAAGUAAAGAGUAUCGAGUUUCAAUUUAAGUCAUAAUUUUUCAGUCAAGAGUCAAGAGUUGAGUUCAAUUCUCAAAAGUAAUUAGGGAACUAAGUAUUUCCCAAAGAAGUUUUAUAAGUGUUUUCACAUUUAAGUUGAGAGGAAACGGAGAUUUCCAAAAGAGUUUUGAGAAGUUUGAGCACUAUCUCUUUUAAAAGAAAAGAUGAGUUUUUGAAAAAGAGUUUCUAAAUUAUGAUUAGUAUGACAAAUGGAGUAUGUCAUCAAUGUUUAAACAGUAUGGUCUCUAGAUAUACCAUCAAUGUUUAAGCAGUAUGAAUAUCCCGAGUCAUCAAUGAUCAUAAAAAAAAAAAAUGUGGUUUUGACUUGUUCUAUUUAGAAAGAGUUUUCAAGUGCCUUCGGGCUAAGUUUUGAGUAAUUAUCUCAACUAAAGAAAGAUGUGCUUAAAACACUUAUGAGCUAAAGUAUUUUGGGAGUAGUAUCGAGCACCGAAUUGGGGAAACGAGUUCAUAUUAAACUCAACUCUCCAUAAGAACCAUGUAGCCAAACAUGGGAUUUCUCGGAUCAUACUUUUUAGAUGAUCACGAAAGUUAAGCUAGUGGAUCCAUUAAGCAAAAGUUAAAGUAAGGUCCUAUAUCGAUGGCAAGGUAUAGGAUGGUCCUUGGGCAACGUGAGGUAAAACGUUGUAUCACCACUCAGAUUCAUAGUGGUGGUUUGUCGGUUAGAGAAGCUCCCACAGUAGAAAGAGCAUGGUUCCUCGAGGGUUCUGCUUAGUAUGGAUGGGGGUAUGGGACUUCAUUCAUGCAUUGCACAAGUAGACUUUGAGAGGAAGCAUGGUAUUUUUAUGAUAUUAUAAAUAUGAUUUUUACGUCAUGUUUUAAUAGUUUCAAAAGCUUUAUAUAUAUUGCAUGUGUCUCAUUGCUUUAUAUUAAGUUCAGUUAUUCUUGAGUUGUACAGAGCCAAGGUAAGUUCUCUUUUGUAUCCCUUUUCAAGCUUAAGUUGUUGUUUAGCGGUCCAGCUCGCAUACUCGUACAUUCCAUGUACUGAUGCCAGUUGGCCUGCAUCUUAUGACGAUGCAGACACNNNNNNNNNNNNNNNNNNNNNNNNNNNNNNNNNNNNNNNNNNNNNNNNNNNNNNNNNNNNNNNNNNNNNNNNNNNNNNNNNNNNNNNNNNNNNNNNNNNNNNNNNNCAGUCAGUUAGUUUUGAGUCUCUCAUCUAUGUAUAUAUGUAAAUAUUCUAUUUUGAGACUCGAGUGGCCUUUUUGGCCAGAUGUGUAUCAUUUAAGUUGUUUAUGUCUUUGCAUGGCAUUGAGUUAUUCUGUUGAGUAGGUUUCCGCUGAGUUAAGAAAGCCAGGCCAAGGGUUCGCUUGGGGCCAGCAAUGGUCUCUGAGUGCCGGUCCCGCCCAGGGUGUAGGCUCGGGGCGUGACAUGUUUAUUCAUUCUAGCUUGGUAGCAUUCAUAAUGCAAUCCUAGGGGGCUUUGAGAGUUUUGUGUAUUGUGUGAAGCUAGAGGAAGAAUGUAUGAGACACAAGUAUUACUUUAACACUUGUGUGAACCUCUUUGUAUUCAGAGUGAAUUGUGUGAGGUUAUUCUUCUCUAGAUUUUAUAGUGAUUUUUUCAUCUCCUCUUGUGGAUGUAGAUCGGUUGACCGAACCACGAUAAAUGUUUGUGUCUUUUGAUAUAUUUCUUGUUUGUCUUAUUACUCAUCGUCUUUCAAGGUUUGCUUUGCUAGCUUUUGCAUGACACCUAAUUAUUUCAGUCCCAACAAGUGACAUCAGAGUCAGGUUCAAUGGUUUAAUGAUUCAAUGGUCGAACCAUGUUAAAAAUAAGUGUUCAUCUUGACGGGUUUAGUUCUAGCCGUAACAUAUUUGACAGUAAUGAAGAUUUUUGUUGGAGAAAUAUUUUCAAAGAUGUUUUCUGUGUUGAUAUAUAUAUAUAUAUAUAUAUAUAUAGAUUUUGCAGAGGAGAUGCAAGGUAUUGAAGAUUAUGUGAAGAAGGUGGAUCAAAUUUAUUUUGUCAGAAAUUUAGGCCAAUGGAGAUAUUUGUUUAGUAUUUGUCAUGAAUUUCUUAUCAUAAUUGGGUUUUUUCUUUUAGAAAAAGGAAACCACAAAGUUUCCAUAUUUGGCUAGUUCUUUUUCUUGUAGGAAAAUGUUUGACUCUAAAAUUAUAUGUGUAUUCCUUCUAGCCUAAUAGCAUUUACAAUGUAGUCCUAAGGGGCAUAGAGAGUUUUGUGUAUUGCGUGUAGCUAGGGGGAGAAUGUGUGAGACACAAGUGUUACUUUAACACUUGUGUAAACCUCUUUGUUUUUCCAUUGAAUUGUGUAAGGUUAUUCCUCUCAAUAUUUUGUACUUUCUUUUAUAUAGUGAAUUGCUCAUAUCCUCUUUUGGAUGUAGGUCGGUUGUCCGAACUACGUUGAAUAUUUAUGUCUUUUGGUAUAUUUUUCGUUUGUAUUAUUACUCAUGGUCUUUCAAAAUUUGCUUUGCUAGCUUUUGCCUGAUACCUAAUAAUUUCAGUCCCAACAAAACCAAACGUGAAAGUUGUUUUCCAGCAGACAACUUUUCUAGUAGCUCUACUCUCGACUUGGAUAAUUUAACCAAAAAGGUACGCUUUCGGCCAUUCUACAUGCUGCCUAUGUAGAGACAUGUUUAUCUAAAGUGGAUUCUCUUUUUUGUAGUAGGUAUCAAACCUGUUAUGCCCAUUGACUAAGAAGCUAGGGGUGGACACAACAACUACAUGGACCUCUUUCUUACAUCGGCCAUCACUAUUAAUCGUCUUUGUUAUCACAAUGACCACCACUAUUACCGUCAUCAAACAUCUCUGUCCUCACAAUUACCAUUAUUAUCAACCACUACUAUAUAUCAAACAUUUGCUAUAUUUAUGUUUUUUAUUGACAUAAACAAUGGGUUAACAUGAUAUAAUUUAUUAGUAGUUUUAUAUAUUUUUCUUAUAAUAAAGGAAACAAUCACUUAUACAUUCUUUGAGAUCAUUUAGUUUAAAAUCAGGAGUGGAAUCAUAACUAGGGUUAUAGCUUAGCAUCAAUUCACCUUCUUAAUUAAUGGGAUAAUUUAAUUAGCUAAAUUUGAAUGAAAAGAAGAAGAAAUUGAUUAAUUUAAUUCGUUUACGUUCCAAUGGGGUGUGCAAUAUCCAUAAAUUUGUCAUGUCGUUAUUAGGUGUUCAUGAGAUGCACAUAUUCCAAGCAAAAGUACCUAUUUGAUCACUAGAUGAGUUUAAGUAUUCAAUUUACAAAUUCUGCCAAAUUUGAGGGACUAUCUAGGUAUUAUUUAGAUAAAAUUAUUUGUAUAGUCCACUCUAAACAUACUUAUAAUUAAGCAAGUAACAUAUACUAUAUAAAGAAGCUUCUAGAGAUAAUUAAAGUUAACUCUAUAUAAUUAGAGUUGCAAUAACAAAUACGUCAAAACAUUAAAGUGUUUCACCAAUAAAGUCAUUUUUUUAAUGUCCAAAACUAAUCCAAUGGAAGCUCUAUUAUGUGGAACACCAGAAGAAGUUUCAGUAUUGUUGGUACAUCAUGAAGUAGAAUUUCUUACUAAUCAGACUGUUAAAUUGUUAGAGGCUUAUAAAUACAAAGGUGACAUUCUAGAAUUUUUUUAACUUUUUUGUUUCUUUGAUAUAAUAACUAAAUGCCGUGUGACAUUUUUUUUUAUAUAUAGAGAGAGAUUGAAAUGAUAUGCUUUUUGUUAUCUCAUUUAUGAUUUUAGCAUCGUCCAUUUUUAAAUUUCAUUUAUCUUGUAAAUCUUGAACUUUUCUUUUUCCUUGUUAUCAUAGCACUUUUUAAUUUUUACAAAUUUAUCUAUCCUCGAAGAAAAAUAAUUCUACAUUAGUGAUGGAUGCACAAGAAAUUAGGAUGACGGGAGGGAAGAGAAAGAGCACGAAAAAGACAUGAUAAGAGAUGAUCUGUCUAUCAUUAUUACUUGAGAUAAUAUUUUUUUGUCUUUUAUUGGAUGUAUAAAAAAAAAUGAGGAGAUCUAAUUUUCAUUAAAAAAACAUUUCCCUUUCUAUUUUUUGUUUUUGUUUUUCGUUGGACGUAGACAAAAAAUUGGCAACUCCUUUCUUAUACUUUGUUAGAUCAUCUAAUUACAUAUCUAUGAAAUAAAAUUACCUCAAAACAUUUUAUCCUAUUAUCUUUUGCUUUAAUAUUUAUUUGUUUUUGACAAGCCAUAAAUAAAUUGGAAUAGUUUUUAGAAAUAUAUUCUUUAGGAUCUUCUCUAGUUUUUAGUAAUCCAAUUAACGAAAAAAAAAAACUAAUAUAUACUUUUUAUGUAACCAAUCUAGUUAAGAUUGCACUCAUCAUUUAUAAUAUAAGUUGAUUAAUAUGUGUUAUUUUAAAAAUUAAAGUGCAGAAAUAUAACAUGAAAAUUCACAGUUGAAUUUGAAUAACAAACAAACAUAUCCAAAUGAUACCUUUGUGUACAAUAUUUUUUUUUUCAUAAUUUUCACUGAUUUCAAAUUGCACGGGUAUAUGUAGUUACGGAAGUUAUGGCUCCUGCGGCAAUGUCAAUGCUUUUCAAAGAAAAGAAAAAAAUUGAUGCAAUGAUAAUCAAGGUCAUUUCACCGGAUUCACAUUGCUUUGAGCUCCUGGCACAAGCUGUAACCUUGAACAUCAUCGUAGUAAGUAAGUAUUUAUAAUUCUAUCUUCCACUUAUUAUUAUAGACGGUAAAGUAAGUUUUUUUAAUUAACUAUUGCAUAAUGUAUAUAAUAUUAUUCAAUUUUAAUUGCUAUCUUCUUGAUAUAAUUAUGCAGUUGUCUAUGAUGAACUCAAUGAAUUCUUAGUGAAGAAAGCUUUGGACAAUGGAGCUUACAUUUGCUCGAAGAAGCCUCUUGUCGAGCAAACUAUGACAUUCUUGUGGCAAUUUGUAUGGAGGGAGAAAACACAAAGAGGGAAAUCAAUAAAAAGAGUAGAAACAAAGGGAGAUCAUAUUUUUGUUUGAAGUUAUUGGAGUUCUGAGAAAACAAUAGGUCGUGGUUUUUUCCUCCCUUGAGCAAAGAGGUUUCCACGUUAACAUAUGUGUUCUUACUUUAAGCAUUUAGAUUACUUCUUGUUAUCAGUAUAGUCAAGUGGUCAGAACACGAGAAGACAUGUCACUAAACAACAACAUAUAUAGGAAAAAACAAACUCUGCUAAGUGAUCGAUCCGUGUGUGAUAGUUGCCUUCUUAACCUUGAACUAUUGCUUCCUGCUAGAUUAUAUGAACUUAGAUAUGUAUACAAAUUAGUAUUCAAUGAGUUCCCAAACAUUCGUGCAUAAACAAUUUCCCCUGUUGUCGUGCCACCAGGACUUAGCAUAUGUUCUGUAUUUGUAUAAUUUCGAUGAUGAUCAUGAGAUUGCUGGGAUAAUGGAGGCAUAUUAUUAUUGUGUAUUAGACCGUGACUCCUACAUCUCGAACUAGGAGGUCUUUGUGGUAUGACUAUACCAAAAUUCUAUACCAAAAUUCGGGGCCUUAAUUUCAGAUGUUUUUGUAGCUUGACAGCGACCAUAGAGUGGAAUCAAUGUUUUUUGUGAGACUUCAGCUUUGCAAACAGGGCAAUUUGGUUGUUGGUUAUCGAUGUUCUCUGAUGAAAUGGUCUUAAAAUGUAUCCAUUUGUAGAUGCAAGGCCAACAAUAGGAGGUGACCACAUAAUGUAACAACAGGAUCAUGUACAACAUCUAGGCAAAUGUUGCACUCGAAACCUCCAGGUGAAUUUUCUUCAAGUUUAUCAAGAUCAAUUGUCUCCAUUUUUCAAAGGAAAUAUCGCGUUGAUCAAAGGUAGUUUCUGCUAUUUGGUCUUGAAAAAUUUGUUCUAAGGCCAUAUUUGCCUCUUGGUAUUGAAUUAUUUUGGUAAUGGCAAGAUGAAGAAUGGUUAGAAUUCAGGUUUUUAAUACAAUUAGAAGUGAGUAUUUAUAAGGACAAAGAAUAGUAGUUUGCAAACAAUGAUUCUUAAGGUUGUCACUUGUCAACAUCACAUUAUGUUAAAGGGGCAUGGCCAAAAAGAAAAGGCCCUACACAUUAUUAAACAACACUAUAUCAUAUUACUCAACAGUCUUGAUUUAUGGGGUAUUGUUUGAUUUGAUAUAACAUUUAAUAAGAAAAUGAAGACUUUUAAAAUAUGUACUGUAUUAAAGAUAAAAAAUAAAUUUUAAGUUUUUCGAUCCUAGAAAUGAUAUUCUUUUUAUAUUAAGACUAAAACAAAUGUUUUACAUAAAUUAAGAUAGAUGAACUAUCAAACACAUCAUAAUUAAGUGAUUUAAUGAAGUCAAAAAUAAAUAUUAAUGGAUCAUGGUUAAGUGAGAGGAGUUUUGUGCAAACACGUCUUUUAUCUAUCUAUUUGAUUUAAACAAGCAUAAGUUUUAUCAUAUUAGAAAUAUGAUUAGGACCUUAUAUUAGGCCCCAUGAUAGGAAUCUUAAUCUAGAAAAUAACUUUUAGUCAAUAAAAAGUAGCACUAGUUGCGUACAAGGAGCUACCACUUGAUGACCUUCCACACUUCCACAUCCCAUAAGUUCAAUAGUUUUCACACUAUAAGAACUAGAUGUUUUUUUCCGCGUGAAUCAAUAAAAUUUUUAGUUUUAUGUUAUAAAACAUGAUUUUUUUCAUUUUGAUUUUAUUAAACUAAUUCACUAAGAAAAUUCAUAACGAAACAUAAGUUCUCAUUGAAAUACUGGAAAUAGUCACUUGGAAAUUUAUGAGUUUUAGGAAAUUAUGCAUCAAAACUUAGAAAGACGCGGCUCAUAUAGAAAUUUGUUGUUAAAUCAUAAUAUAUACUUUUACAUCUGAAUAUCUUUAUUGAUUUGGUUAAAAUUAUAAUUAAAAAAAUUACAAUACAAUAUAUAUAGAUUCACAUAAAUUUAAUACUGUAAGUUCAAUUAUUAUUCAAUUAUUAUUAUGAUAUAUUAAUCUAAAAUUAUUAUAGAAGCUUCUAAACUCUAAAUUCAGAUCCAACUAAGGAGUGAAUAUACAUAGUGGGGGUCUGGGGGAUGGGAGAAAACAUAUGGACGGUGUGACAAAUAAAUAAAAGAAAUACUCCGUCCAUUCCAUUUGACUUAGUAUUGUUUGACUUAAUACGAUGUAUAAGAGAAAAAAAAGAUUUUAGAAAAUUAUAGGCUAAAACAAUUUUUAUAUAUUUAUAUAAUUGUAAAUCAUUUCAUUAAUUAAGGGUAGAUGGAGAAUUUUAAGUUUAAUUAUUUUCAAUUACAAUAAAAUGACAUUUUUAAAGACGGAUUAUGAGAAUAGAGUGCCACGUAAAAUAAAACGAGAAAAUACUACUCCCUCCUUCCCAUUUUAUAUGUUACCUUUUUACUUUACAUUUACAUUAAGAAAUAAUGUAACUUUACCCUUCUACCCUUAUUUAAUGUUUUCUUAAGUUAACUUUAUAACUCCCUCCGUCCCAUUUUAUAUGUCAUCUCUUUCUAUAAAUAGUUGGACCACAAUACUUGUCAUUUUAUAAAAUUUAUGUAUAAAUUACCAUAUUUUACCUAUUAUAUCCUUGAUAGAGUAGUUAAUUAAUCUUGAAAAUAUAUUCAUCAUUUAUUAUAAAUUGACUUAAGAAAAUAUUAAAUAAGAAUAGAAAGAUAAAAUUACAUCAUUUCUUAAUAAAAGUAUAAAGUAAAAAUGUGACGUAUAAAAUAGAACGGAGGGAGUACUACAAAAGAACGAGUCCGCACAUGCAUUAUACAAGUACUACAUGUGUCUCGAAUUUAGCAGCCUUUUGUCAACUUUUUAUAUUUUGGCUUACUUGGAAGCAAGUCUAUCCUCUCCUAUACAAUCAAUUAGGGUGGCCAUUAAUCAUAUAUUAUUAGGCUAAAGAUAACAUAUUGCUCCCUCCGUUUUUAAUUAUUUAUCCAUUUUUUUAGUUAUUCCUAAUUACUUGUCUAUUUUUACAAAUCAAGAAAGAACAAUUUUUUUUACCUAUUAUACCGUCAAUUUAUUACUUUGAAAAAAGUAGAACUUUUUGAAAAUCUUGAGUUUUUAAUUCAUCCACUUCAUAAUUAAUAUGGAUAAAAUGGUAAACUCACUAUUUCAAUAAUUGUUUUCUUAAUAGGUGUGCCAAUUCAAAAAUGGACAAGUAAUUAGGGAUAGAGAAAGUAUAUCGAAAUAAUAUAAUAAGAUAUUAUGCUAAAGAUAAUUAACAAAACUUUGAACAAUUAUAAAUAAGAUAGCAAAAAAAUCCAUAGUAAAUUAACAUGGUUCAACGAUUAGUGAUGGAAUCUGAAUAUGAUUCAGGAUUUUCACUAUUAAUGAAAUUCAAAAGGAAUAAUACAUAAAUGUGCCCUUUAACUUGACUUCAUUUUAUGUUUAUGUCCUUCAACUUUGGGUAUACACAAAUAUGCACCUAAACUUGUAUAAAGUUGAACAACUAGACACAUGAGUCCUACAUGACACAAUACACAUAAGAUACCACGUAGGAUAAAAAAUGCCAUGUAGGACAUGUGUGUCUAUUUUUUCAACUUUAUACAAAUUUAAAUAUCUACUUGUGCACACCCAAAGUUGAAGGGCAUAAAUGUGAUUUGAAGCCAAGUUAAAGGGUAUAUUUAUGUAUUAUGCCUAUUCAAAAUAUGAAUAAAUAAACAUAUAAAUUAGCUGACUACAAUAAUAGACAGAUAAAAAAUAAUUUUAACUAUAUGUAUAAAUAAUAUAAUUUUUCAUCGAAAGAGGUUCAUCUGAUUCCUCACUACUUUCUCUCAUUCAAAACUAAGCAAUAUGAGACUUUCAUGUCACAUGGAACCCUUUUUUUUUUUUUUGGAAAUCUCAGUAGUUCAGUUAAUUGACUGACUAUCUGAAUUCUCGAUUUCCCAUGUUGUAAUCCUCUACCCCAAUUUUUUUAUUACCUUCCUCACAUAUGUAUAAGACCGAAUCCAAAUAUCUAAGAUGAGAGAAUUUUGGGAGAGCCACCGACUCCAACUACUGCCAUAUAUUAUCCAUAUUAGAUUUGACCAACUAUCCAUCCUACCCUCCUCUACGUUCUUGACAACCCAUUUUUGUCUUAGUCAAGUCUUUUAGUGGCACGUUUUGAUCCUCUUUUCAAUUACUUAGAAAAAGUGAGUUAUUAUUCAGAUACAAAAUACUAUCAUUAUCGCCUAAAAAAUUAGACAUUCAACCCGUAAUCACAAUGAUCCAAUUACAAAAGCUCCGAACCCCCUAGGUCUAGACUGGCUCUGGCCCUAGUUUUAUCUCUUGACCUUCACAUGAGUAAACUCGUUGAUAUAGAGGAUUACAGUAUUGAUUUCUUUAAAAGAAAAAAACCUUAAUUUAAGGUAUGGAGGCCUAGAAAGGAAACACACGUUAUAUAUGGAGCCUGUUCUGGCCUAUACAGUAUAUAUGUACAUAAAAUUUGGAGUAUCUAAAGAACCACUGACAAAUGGCUACGAAAGAUCAUAUACAAUUAAAUUACAAGCCAUUUGCAAUCAUCCUGCCACCUUAAGCAGAAAAAAUGAAAACGAAUAAAACAAACACUCACACAUUUGGCUUCUGAUUUGACAUUUAUUUCAGAGAACUGGCUAGUCCUCAGAACACCUUAACUACUCGCUGCAGAAAAAGAAAAAAAAGACGCAAAAAAUGGAAAAUAAUAUGUUAGAUGUCCCAUAAUUAAGGAACAAGAGAACAUUAUAGCAAGAAUGAGCAUGCAGGUACGUAUAAGAACUUACACAUUAUUGCGGCAAGAAGCAACUUCUUUCUCAAAGUCAUCAUCAUCAUCAUCAUCUUCAUCUGUUGUCACACUAUCGAAAAUGCUUGCAACAAAAGAUGAAAAAUGAAAUGUUACACUUCCCAAAAUCAAGAAUGAACAUGCAAGUAUAACAAGUUACAAAAUAUUGGAAGGAUUCGAAUCAAUCACAAUGACAGCAUCAAGAACUUUUGUUGAAUUGAUGCAAUUUGACUUACUAAAGCUAUUAUCCAGAUUAUUAUCGAGUUUACUAUGAUGAUGAGUUAAAUAUUGUUGUAAAUCAAGGAAGAAGAUGUCUUACAAAAGAUUCACGAGUAUGGACCUCGAUAGAGCUUCCAUAGUUGUCUUGAAUGUCCUGUUGAAUUUGCUUGGCGGAAUUCCCAACAGAUUGUUUACAGUCACUUAUAUCAAUAAGAGCUAGUGUGGUUAUAUCUGCAAAAUCUCGAGGGAUUGAAUCCAAAGAAUAGCAAUCUUUAAGAAAAAGUCGUUCAAGGUACGGAAAGUGAUCACUACUAGCUCUCCAGUACCGAAUGUAUACUCUAUCCAGAAACAAGAACUUUAAGUGAGGAAACCCUUCCUCAACUACUUCCCACUCCUCGCCUAUGAAGGCAUUGUCUGAUAGUUUAAGGACCUCGAGUUUGGAUAAUUUACCAACAAUGCUCAAAUCCUUCCAUGCCAAAGAAAAUUUUCCCCUAAAAGUUAAACUCUUAAGGUUUUGUGGAAAAGCAUCCGGAGGAGGUAAGAGUAAAGUUGGAACAUCAGUUGGAGGUGCAGUUCCCCCGAAACGAGUCUGAAACCUCAGAGGAUCUUGCGGAGUAGAACCUGAAGGUGCAGUGUUUUUUAGAAAGCAAGCAAUAGGUGAAUAAUAAAUACCAAAUGUCAAUUUCUCGAGCUGAUAUAAGUAGCGAAAAUCAUACAGGUCCUUGUGAUUGCGAAAGUCCUCUGGGACGCCAAAUACUUUCAACUUCUUUAAAUUGGGAAAUAGUCUAAAAAAAGACCCUGUACAAUACCGAGGAUUCAAUUGAUUGAGGCAUUGCAAACUUUUCAAAACCAAUCUGUUCUCUGUAGGCUCAUGACUCUGCAAGUAAUUCCAGCCCAUAUGCAGCUUCCUCAAUUGUGGCAUCGUCAAAAUUUCCGAUGGUAAUAUGAAAGGAUAACUACUAUUGGGAAAUGGAAGGUAAAGUUUAAAAGUUUGCAGAUAGCAUAGGCUUGAUAUCGAUAGAGGAAUGUCUAUUAUUGAUGAGGGAACAGCUUCUUUCGAUCCUCGAUACUGCUUUAAGCAAGGCUUAAAACACAAAGAUAGGUAUCUCAAAUGAAAUAGAGAAAGUACUCCACUGGGAAAAAAUGGGCAUAUAGUCAAACCAAGAUCUAGUACUCUUACUAGCUUGAAAGACAAUGCCAGUGUGACGCAUUUGAAUCCACCCAACAUGAUAAUAGAAUGAGCCUCACUGCUACAACACCAAACCAAUUUUUUCUCAUUAUGGAUUCUGAUCCGAUUUCGACUCUUAAAGGAACACUGCAUGGAUUGUUCACAUGAAUUUUGAUAACUCUUUCCUCUGAUAACAUUCACAAAAUUCAUGUUUCGAGCUUCCCUCAAACAGAGUUCACGGGUCACAUCAUGCAUUCCACAACUUUCUAUUGUUCCACGAAAACUAAAAUUGUGGAUGAAAAUUAAGCUUCUAUCUAUAAGUUCAUUUAUACAUGUUGUUGCCACCUCUUCUAUGCUUUUUCCCUCUUCUUCAUUCAAAAACCCCUCUACGGCCCAUAAUUCAACAAGUUUAUUUACAUAAAUCUGUUCAUCCUCUGCGAAAAUUGCAAAAUACAGAAAACACGGUUUUAGGUGAGAAGGCAAGUGAUGGUAACUCAAAGCCAACACUCUCAUGCACUUUGCUUCAAGAUCUGUGCUUACCACUGAACUUACAUUCUCCGCAACAUAUUGCCACACACCCAAUGUUUUACUGAUUUUGGAGAGAAGUCCAGCAAUCACAGUAAUUGCUAGAGGUAACCCUCCACAUUUUAAUGCAAUUUGUUUCCCAAUAUUUUCAAAUUCAGGAGAAUAAGAACCUUCUUUUUCAAAGAUCUUUUUGUGUAGUAAAUUCCAACUUUCGUCAAAAUUCAUGAGGCGCAUGUGAUGAGGAGGCUUACCUGACCUAGCACAUUCAGCCACUUCCACAUUCCGAGUAGUCAGGAGUAUUCUGCUUCCAUUAUAACAGUCUGGGAAACAUAGUUUUAUAUCAUCCCAAGCUUCUGUAGUCCAUAUGUCAUCAAUGACUACCAAGUAUCUCCUGCCUUUCAGAUGCUUCUGCAAUCGGUCCGCUAGCUGAUCAUCAGGUUCAUCACUUAUCGAAGGAAGAAGGCCUAGGAUUACAUUUCUCACACAAUACUCUUGUGAAACAGUUGCUUUUGCACGAAUAUCAAAUCGAGACAUAAUGUAAGGAUCACUAUAGAGUUUUGUAGCCAAAGUUGUUUUCCCGAUACCUCCCAUCCCUACGAUUGAGACAACUUCUAGUUCCCUUCCUCCUCUAGCAAGUUGAUCCAGCAUCAUCUCAAAUUCAUUUUCACGGCCAACCAUUAUAUUCUCGGGCUGCUCAACAGCAUGUUCAGGUAAACUGACAAGUGAGCUAGUUUGUGGUUUUAGAUCUUUCAUGCUGUCCGAUGCUGCCAUCCACUGUUUCACGGUGGAAGCAAUGCAUUCUAGUGCUUGUUCCAAGACGAAAAAAAUCUCCCACAUAGCCCUGCUUCUUUCCUCCAAAUUCUGUGCUAAAAAAACAUUUCUUGAUUCCGAGUCAACCAUAUCUUCUGUUGUGUAUGCUACCUCUGCGAUUUCAACUUCCAAGAUUGUUAACCCCUCAUGAUCGCCCAUUAUAUUGCAGGAUUUCUCCAGAAUAGCUCUCAAAGAUUUGAGCUUUUCAUAAAACGGUUGCAAAUCACAUCCAGUAAGUUCCAUUGAUUGAUGUAUGGUUCUCAUAAGGGAAGUAACAGCAGCAUAAGCCAUAUAUCCAAAAAAUAGAAAUAUCUCUCAGUAUGAAAAUGGACAAAUUGCCACAAGUUAUGUAAUUUUUCAGUUUUUAAGAAAACAGAAAAUGCAAAGUUCUUUCUUUUACUAGCUAUUUCCAUCACAUUUCCAGCUAGGUCCACCAACCUUAUCAUCAUGUAGACAAAAGCAGAGACCAAAGUUAAAAAAAAAAGAAAAAAGGCAGGACUCUAACAGGAAAAAGUAGAAAAAAUUGUGACCAUUCAUUAUUAGACCCUACACUUAUCUAUUCAUGAAUAUAGGUAUGUUUCUUACAUACAAGAGAUUGAUGAUUUUAAUUCCAUUGAAAGCAACUUCGUAGAAUUUUCCAAAUCAAAGAGAGAGAAAUAUUAAGAUCCAAGUAGGAAUUUCUCUAUUCCUAGUUCGAUUCAAUUAACCAAGCAUAAAUAUCUCUUUAAAUAUAUAUGAGAAGUUUAGACUCUAAAAGUCAAAUCAACAAAAUAUUUAUGGGCUAACACAUGAAAAACUAUUGAGAAAAUUGCCUAAUUUCUGUAAAUUGGCCCUUAAAUCUCCAAAAUGGACUCUAAAAAUUGUCAGACUGUACGUAUUGCUCCCAACUCCCUACUAAGGGUUCUGUAAUUUCGAUUAGAAUUCGCCCGUAAGUCAUAUCACCAAUAUAUUAAUGACUAACACACACGAAAAACUAAGAAAAUUGUCUAAUUUCUUGAAAUUGGCCCCUAAAUGCCUAAAAUGGACUCUAAAAAAUUGUCAGACUGUACGUAUUGCUCCCAACUACCUACUAAGGGUUCUGUAAUUUCGAUUAGAAUUCGCCCGUAAGUCAUAUCACCAAAAAUAUUAAUGGGCUAACACACACAAAACACUGAGAAAGUCGCCUAUUCCUGUAAAUUGGCCCCUAAAUGCCCAAAAUGAACUCUAAAAUUGUGAGACUAUGUACUGCUCCACUAACUCCCUAUGGAGGGUUCCGUAAAGAUUUCACAAAGAAAUUAUUCGGAAGAUAUAUCACCAAAAUAUUUAUGGGCUAAUACAUUUUUAUUUGUCCAUUUGAUUUGAUAUAUCUUUCAAGUACUUUGAUCCGGUUAUACUUUUUUUUUAUUGCUAAAAAUAAAUAUCCACUUUUACUUGUUCAUUCUACAAAACAAAGACAAUAUUUUAUUGCUUGAUUCAGAUAUAAAAUUUGAGUAGGCUAAUUUACAAACCAUCUGUAGUCAUCCUGCCCCUAUGCUAUAACAUUUGAAAGAAAGAGGUCAUCAUCAUCAUAUUCAUCAUCGUUGUCAUCUUCAUCUUCAUCUUCAUCAUCAUCUUCAUCUUCAUCAUCAUCUUCAUCAUCAUCUUCAUCUUCUUCAUCAUUAUCAUCAUCAUCAUCAUGAUCGUCAUCGUCACUUGUUUCCUCACUGUUGAAAAAGCCAGCAACAAAAGAUGAAAAAUGAAAUGUUAUGCAAGUAUAACAAGUUACACAAUUACUAUAUUGGAAGGAUUUAAAUCAUAUACAAUGACAACGUAUGAACUUUUACACUAUAGGUGCCAUUUAACUGCUUAUUAAAGCAACUUAUAAUUAUUUUAUUACUAGUUCUGGACACAUGCUUUGCAUGUGUAUAUUACACGUUUAGUCACGAUUGUAAGAGGGUGUACACCAGGAUCAUUCGAAGAGCAAAGUCGUGUGAGCCUUACAGAUAUUCUUGACGUACUCCUAUUAAAAUCUGUAUCAUAAUAUCUGAUGAAAUCAGCUACUGAUCAGUCAAGCUCUCCAUUGAUGUAGACUUCAACUACACAUGAGAAAGAAUGAGAGAAGAAGAGAGAAGAGAAGAGAAGAAGAAUCUAGAAGAGCAACAUGAAAAUUAAUCUCUCAUUGAAUGUGAAUUAAAACUACAAGAAUUACAAUGUGACUAUAUAUAUAUAAUCACUGGCAGAAAUUAACUAACUAACAAACUUGAUUCUAACUAACUCUACUGUACAUAGAUUCUAACUAACUCUACUGUACAUAACCGACUCUACUGUACAUAACUAACUAAUUAUACUUUAUAUUCUCAUCACCCCCCCUCAAGUUGGAGGUGAUGUAAUUACAGACAACUUGUGCAAUAAGGCAGUAUGUUUAACUCCAGUCAGAGCCUUGGUGAAGAUGUCUGCCAACUGUGAAUCAGUGGGAAUAUGAUGGAGUGUGAUUAGGCCUUGUUGAAGCUUGGUCCUAACAAAGUGACAAUCGAUUUCUAUGUGCUUUGUCCUCUCAUGAAAAACUGGAUUCUUUGCAAUGUGGACUGCUGCUUGACUGUCACAAUGGACAGGGAUAGGUAAGGAGCAUUGUACAGUCAACUCAUCCAACAAUCGUUCAAGCCACACUAGUUCUCCUACAACUUGUCUCACAGCUCUAUAUUCAGCUUCAGCAGAUGACAAAGACACUGUUGCUUGCUUCUUAGACUUCCAGCUGACAGGACUAUCACCCAGAAGCACUAGGUAUCCACUAACAGACUUCCUGGAAUCAGGGCAAGCAGCCCAAUCAGAAUCACAAUAAGCACUGAUAGUGAGAUCAGGCUUGUUUGAGAUAAAAAUUCCCAAUGUUGGAUCCUGUUUCAAAUAUCUGAGCACAUGGUAUGCUGCUUUUAAAUGUGGUUCCCUAGGUGAUUGCAUAAAUUGGCUCAAGUGUUGUAUACUAUAAGCUAUGUCCAUUCUAGUGUUGGUCAAAAAAUUUAGCUUACCAACCAACUUCCUGUAUUGAGUAGGAUCAGAUAAAAGAUUGCCAUCUGUAGCUGUUAACUUCUCAGUGCAAUCAAGUGGUGAUGUAGUGGCCUUGUGACUUAACACAUCAAAAUCUUUCAGGAGAUCAGAAGUGAAUUUCCUUUGUGAAACUAGCACUCCAUCAUGUCUGUAUAAUAUUUCCAGUCCCAGAAAGUAGUGUAGUUUGCCCAAAUCCUUUAUCUUGAACUGAUCAUUUAAGAAGCUCUUUAAGGAGUUGAUUUCAGCCACAUCUGUUCCAGUUAGAAUUAUGUCAUCCACAUAUACAGCAACAAACACCAAGGAGCAGCCCUUCCUUUUGUAGAACAGUGAGUAAUCACUGUCUGAGUGCUGAUACCCUCUUGAACAUAGACAGUUUGCCAACUUCUCAUACCAUUGCCUGCUGGCCUGUUUUAGUCCAUACAAAGACUUCUUCAAUUUGCACACCAUGUUAUCACAACCUACUACAAGACCUUGUGGAGGUGCCAUGUACACUUCCUCAUGCAAAUCACCAUGUAAGAAUGCAUUAUUGACAUCUAGCUGAUACAAGCUCCAAUCUUUCUUAACAGCUAAAGAGAUUAAUGUUCUAACAGUAGUCAUUUUAACUACAGGUGAGAAGGUUUCAGUGUAAUCUACCCCAACUUGUUGUGUAUAACCUUUGACCACCAACCUACACCCCAGCUUGUUGUGUAUAACCUUUGACCACCAGCCUAGCCUUGAACCUCUCCACACUCCCAUCAGCUUUGUGCUUGAUUUUGUACACCCACUUGCACCCAAUAGCUUUCUUCCCAUCAGGUAACAUGACCAUCUCCCAAGUGUCAUUAGCAUACAAAGCUUCAAACUCCUGUGUCAUGGCCUGCUGCCAGGCAGGGUGCAAUAUUGCUUCCUCAAAUGAAAUAGGCUCACAUUCAUGUGAAAUGGUUGUUACUAACUGCUGACUAUCAGAACAAAGACUGGUGAAACAUACAUGUUUAUGGGGAGAUAUAAAGGAAGUGAGGGAGUGCAGCUUAGGUAUAGUGUAGGUGUAUUCUUUUAGGUAAUUAGGAGUGUGUAUGGUUCUGGUUGUUCUUCUAGGUGCUGAUAUUGUAGGUACUGGUAAAGUAUCAUGAUGCAUGGUGGCAUUUGGAUCAGGUAAGGUAGGUUGAGUUGUAGUAGGUUGAGUUGUAGGUUCAUGUAGGACAGCAGGUGGUACUUCAUUCAUGUUGGUAUUACUGGUUACUUGAUUAUUAGUGACUUCAUGUGGUGUGAAAUUUUCCAGUUGAUCAUCAUUAGCAAAAAUGUUCAUUUUACCAGACAUACAAGGCAUGCUAGUGGUAUGAGUAAGCAUUUGCAGAAUGGAAUUGAAACUAGAACCAUCAGGGGCAAUAACAAAAGGAAAAAUAUUUUCUUGAAAAAUAACAUCUCUUGAUAUAUGAACUUUCUUGGUAGCUAAAUUCAAAACUUUGUAACCUUUUGUAUUGAAAGGGUAACCAACAAAAACAUGAGGUGUGGUUCUAGGUUCAAAUUUAUCUUUGUGAGUUUUCAAGGUAGUGGGGAAACAAAGACAACCAAAACUCUUAAGGUGGGAAUAUGUAGGUGAUUUAUGGUACAACAUUUCAUAUGGAGAUUUAUUCUGUAAAAGUUGAGUGGGCAGUCUAUUAAUCAGGUAUGUGGCAGUCAAUACACAUUCCCCCCAGUACCUCAUAGGCAACUUUGACUGAAACAAAAGUGCCCUUGCUGUUUCAAGUAGGUACUUAUGUUUCCUUUCUACCACCCCAUUUUGUUGAGGUGUAUAAGGACAAGUUCUUUGGUGUAUGAUACCUUGUUUUGGAAGAAAUUUGUGGCUUCAGCUGAAGUAAACUCUAACCCAUUGUCAGAUCUUAUGGCUUUUUAACUUGGUUUGGAAUUGGUUUUCUAUGAGAGAUAUGAAGGCUUUGAUAGUUUGGAGAGCAUUACUCUUACAUCUCAGCAAUUGUGUCCAAGUGGACCUACUGUGGUCAUCUACCAUAGUGAGGAAAUAAUGAUAUCCAUCAUGAGUGGGAACAUGAUAUGGUCCCCAUAGGUCAACAUGUAACAACUCAAACACUUUAGUGGUGGUGGUGAUACUUUCUGGAAAAGGCAUCCUAGUUUGCCUAGCCAUAGGGCAUAUAUUGCAAGUAAAAGGCUGUUUAGGAGAAAAAUGAACAGGUAUAGUUGAGAUAUUUUUCAUUUUUACAAAAGGUACAUGUCCUAAUCUAGCAUGCCACAAAAGUUCAUCAUCAUGAGUGUGAUUAGAGACAUUUGUAAAUGAAGGACAAGCAUGAGUAAAACAAGAGGAAGGAAAAACAGUACAAUCUGCCUUAUUCAUAGGAGAGUAUUUUACAGAAGAACCAGUGGACACAUUAGAAUCUGAAACCCUGCUAGUAUUGCCUAAAGAAGAGACAAGAGGACAAUUAACAUGAGGUGCUUUACUCUCAGCAGAUGGACAACAAUUGUGGCAUUUGUGACACAAGAAGUACAGGCCAUUCUUGGCUUUACCAAGUUCCAGAGGGCUCUUCAGAGAAGGGCCCUGCAGCAAACAAGAAGAUUUGUCAAAGCUGACUACACCAUUGAAUUGUAGUGCUAAACAAUGAACAGAAAUGAGAUUAAACUUGAAGCUAGGUACAAACAACACUUUGCUUAGAGUCAAAGCUGGAUUUAAACAAGCAUCACCAAUUUCAGUCACUUUAACCUUGUAACCAUUAGGGAGUGAAAUUAGAAAGGGAUAUGGAAGUGAAAUGAUGUUUGUGAGGGUGGUCUUAUCAUAGGUCAUAUGGUGUGAUGCUCCUGAAUCUAUGAUCCAAGAGCCAGCAGUCAGUUUAACACAUUUACAAGAAAGAUCACCUAUAUCAGUAAUAGAGGAAUAACAUGCAAGUAUACCUGCCAAGUUCACAGCUCCAUUCAGCAUGUUGUUUGAGUUGUCUGAGGCUCCAUUUCCAACUUGUAAAGUUCCCAGGAGAUUGAGUAGUUGUUCAUAUUGAUCUUUGGACAAGUUCAAUGGCAUUUGUCUCCUUACUUCAGGUUCCUCUUCAGAUUGAACUCCAUUCAUAUCAGGGGCACACACAUUUGCUGCAGCUUUUCCCUUUUUGAACCUUGGAUUUGGAUUGGAUGGGUAUCCAUGAAGCUUGUAACAUCUAUCCUUUGUGUGUCCUGAUUUCUUACAGUAGUCACAAAACAAAGAAGACUUGCCAGUGCUAGAAUUGCCUCUAAACCCAGUAUUACCAGAAUUGGUUCCACCUCCUCCAGAUGAACUGUAGUUUGUCCGGAAUCCCCUGUAUCCUGCACUGCUGUUGGUCUGUCCAUAAGCAUUGAGAGAGGUAGAAUCCAAGGCUGUAUGAUUAUGAGGCUUCACCUCCCUUUGUUUUUCCUCUUGGGAUAAUAUGGCAAAAGCUUGAGCCAUGCUUGGAAGUGUGUUCAUCAUGAGAAUGCUGCCUCUGACAGUCGUAUAUAUCUCAUUCAAUCCCAUUAGAAAAUGUAUCAAUCUUCUGUCUUGUUCAGCCUUGUGUAAUUUGCUUUUACCCCCACAAAUGCACACACAAGUACACUGAGAAUUGACAUCAAUGGUACUCAUUUCCUCCCACAACUUCUUCAUUCUUGUGUAAUAUCCAGUGAUGUCUAAAGUGCCUUGGACCAGAUCAUUAAUUUCCUUCUGCAGUUGAUACAAUUUACACCCAUUGGUUUGAUCGUACCUUUCUUCUAGUUCUCCCCAAAGCUCCUGAGCAUUAUUGACAUACUGCAGACUAUCACGCAAAUCUGGUGACAAGGAAUUCAGGAUCCAAGAUGUGACCAUAUCAUCACACCUUUCCCAUUGCUGAAAGCUAGGAUCAGUAGGAUCAGGUCUCACAACCUUCCCAUUAAUGAAUCCUGUCUUGCUCUUAACAGAUAAAGCCCUGAGAACUGCUCUUCUCCAGGAUCUGUAACCAGUUCCAUCAAAAACUGCAGGUAAUAGGGAUGAACUUGCAUUCUCAGAUGGAUGCAAGUAGAAAGGACUAGGGAUUUCUACCCUAACAGUGGAUGCAGAAGCAUUUGGAAUGGAAUCAUUUGAAGAAUCGACCAUUGUGAAUUGAAAAUUGGGAAGAAGAUCAAGUCGAGAACAACCAGAUCAAACAGCGUUCACAAACAAAAUUGACAGAUCGAAGAUCCAGUCGAGAUCAACCAGAUCAAAGAAAAAAUUCACAUAAGAGAAAACGAAGCUCACAGAUUGAAUUGGAAACAAAAAAAAACAGGAGCAAUUCCCUGUGCUUUGAUACCAUGAUGAAAUCAGCUACUGAUCAGUCAAGCUCCUCCAUUGAUGUAGCUUCAACUCACAUGAGAAAAGAUGAGAGAAGAAGAGAGAAGAGAAGAGAAGAAGAAUCUAGAAGAGCAACAUGAAAAUUAUCUCUCAUUGAAUGUGAAUUAAAGAAGUGAGUAUUACAAUGUAUCUGUAUAUAUACACAAUCACUAAGCAACUAAUAAUCAUUGGCAGAAAUUAACUAACUAACAAACUUGAUUCUAACUAACUCUACUGUACAUAACCGACUCUACUGUACAUAACUAACUAAUUAUACUUUAUAUUCUCAUCAAUAUCCCUUUUUUCAAAUUUCAUAGCUGAACUACUAGGUGUGCGAGUUCCUACCAGAACUAUUACCAACUAUUUAUCAAAACACACAUCAACUAUAUAUGAGUUGUUCCCUUUUACUAGUGGUGAAAAAUAGGUGGAUUUGGACGGGACUGAAAAUGGAUUGAGCAACAUGGUCGUAACUCACUUUAAUCUCUUAAAGCCAGAAAACUUUAAAGAGUUAAUUGAAAUAAACUUAAUGACUAUCCUACUUGAAGUAUCACCAUCGUUCAGGUAAGAAAAAGGAAGUAAAUCAAGGAAGACGAUGUCUUACAAAGCCUGAUGGAUAUGGACCUCGAUAGAACCUCCAUAGUUGUCUUGAAUGUCCUGUUGAAUCUGCUUUGCGGAAUUCCCAACAGAUUCUGGGCAGUUUCUUAUAUCAAUUAGAGCAAGUGUGGUUAUAUCUGCAAAAUCUUGAGGGAUUGAGUCCAAAAACCUGCAACUAUCAAGAAAUAGUCGUUCAAGGCACGGAAAGUGAUCACAACUAGCUCUCCAGUACUGAAUAUGUGAUCUUUUAAGUAACAAGAACUUCAAAAAAGGAAACCCUUCCUCAGCUACUUCCCACUCCCUGCCUCUGCAUACACCCUGUGUUAGUUCAAGAAGUUCAAGUUUGGGCAAUUUUCCGACAACAAUGCUUAAAUCCUUCCAUGACAAGAAGAAAUUUCCUGUAAAAGUUAAAUUCUUAAGGUUUCGUGGAAAAGCAUCUGGAGGAGGUAAGAUCAAAGAUGGAACAACUUCUACAACAAGUGGAUUCCUUGUCUGAAAACACAUUCUCCUCUCCAAAAAGUAAGCAUUAUUUUGAGGAGGAAGACAAAAUGCUAGUUCCUCGAGAUGAUCUAAGUAGCGAAAAUCAUAGAGGUCUUUGUGACUAUGGAAGUCUUGUGGGAUGCCACGUACUUGCAACUCCUUUAAAUUGGGAAAUAGUCUAAAGAAAGAUGCAGUACAAUAGCUAGGAUUCCAUCCAAACAGAGAAUGUAAAUUUUUCAUAACCAAACUUUUCUCUGUAAGCUCAUGAUAUCGCAAGUAAUUCCGAUCCAAAUGAAGGUGCCUCAACUGUGGCAUAGUCAAAAUUUCUGAUGGUAAUAUCAAAGCAUGUUUACGAAGAUUAAUAACGAGUGGAAGGUAAAGUACCAAACUUUGCAGAUAGCAUAGGUUUGAUAUGGAUGUAGGAAUGUCUACUCUUGAUGAGAGAACAUCUUCUUCGGAUCCUAGAUAUUGCUCAACGUUAGGAUAAAUACGCAAAGCUAGGUGUCUUAAGUGAAUCAAAUAAAGUAUUUCACGGGGAAAAGUUAGACAGAUAUUAUCAGCAAGAUCUAGAACUCUUACUAGCUUGAACGGCAAGUACUCCCUCAUGCAACAUCGGAAUCUACCAAAUAAGAUAACAGAAUGAGCUUCACUGUUAAGGCACCUAACAUACUCUUUCUUAUUAUGGAUGCUGAUUCGACCUCGACUCUUAGACAAACACUGCAUAGAUUUCACACAUGGAUUUUGAUCAUUCUUACUUCCGAGAACAUUCACAAAAUUCAUGUUACGAGCUUCCAUCAUACAGAGUUCACGAGUCGUAUCAUGAAUUCCACAACACUUAAUUUUUCCAUCAAAAGUAGUACUUUCUAUGGAAAUUAAACUUCUAUCAAUAAGAUCUUGUAGGUACUUUUCUGCCACUUCUUCUAUGCUUUUCAUCUCUUCUACCUUCAAAAAUCCCUCUGUUUCCCACAAUAUCAUAAGUUUAUUGACAAAAAUCAGUUUAUCCUCUGGGAAGAUUGCGAAAUAUAAAAAGCAUGGUUUUAGGUGGUGAGGCAAGUAAUGGUAACUCAUUGCCAACACCCUCAUGCAUUGGACACCAACAUCUGUGCUUACUGCUGAACUUACAUUUUCAGCAACACUUUGCCACUCACUCAAUGCUUUGUCAAUUUUAGUGAGAAGUCCCGCGAUCACAACAAUUGCUAGAGGCAAUCCUCCGCAUUUCAAUGCAAUUUGCUUUCCAAGUUGUUCAUAUUCAGGGGAGAAAGAGUCUUUCGUAAAGACUUUUUCAUACAAUAAACUCCAACUUUCGUCAAAAUUCAUGAGGCGCAUGUGAUAAGGAGGCUUACCUGAGCUAGCAUAUUCAGCCACUUCCACAUUCCGAGUAGUCAAGAGUAUUCGGCUUCCAUUAUGAAAGUCUGGGAAACAUAUUUGUAUAUCAUCCCAAGCUUUUGUAGUCCAUAUGUCAUCAAUGACUACCAAAUAUCUCUCACCUUUUAGAAGCUUUUGUAGUCGAUCUGCUAGUUGCCCGUCAUGUAGCUGAUCAUAAGGUUUAUCACUUAUACAAGAAAGAAGGUCUAGGAAAACAUUUCUCACACAAUACUCUUGUGAAACAGUAGCUUUAGCACGAAUGUCAAAACGAUACAUCAUGCAUGGAUCGUUGUAGAGUUUCGUAGCCAAAGUUGUCUUGCCAAUGCCUCCCAUACCUACAAUUGAUACAACUGCUAGUUCUCUUUCUCCUCUAGCAAGUUGAUCCAGCAUCAUCUUGAAUUCAUUUUCAUAGCCAACCAUUAUAUCCUCGGACCGCUCAACAGCACGUUCAGGUAUCUUGGAUAGACAAAAAUUUUGUGCUUUGAAAUCUUUAAAGUUGUUGUACCAGUCCCAUAUUGCCAACCACUGCAUCAUGAAGGAAUCAAUGCAUUCUACCUCUUGUUCCAAGGAACAACAGAGUUCCCAGAAAGCUUUGCUUCGUGUAAUUACAGUUUCUGCGGAAGAAACUUUUCUUGAUUUCGAAUCAACCAUGUCUUCUGCUUUGUAUGCUACCUCCGCGAUUUCAACUUCCAAGGUUGUUAACCCCUCAUGAUCUCCCGUUAUAUUGCAGGAUUUCUCCAUAAUAGCUCUCAAAGAUUCAAGCUUUUCAUAGAAUGGUUGCAAAUCACAUCCAGUAAGUUCCAUUGACUGGUGUAUGGUUCUCAUAAGGGAAGUAACAGCAGCAUAAGCCAUAUAUCCAAAAAAUAGGAAUCUCUCACACUCAGUAUGAAAAUGGACAAAUUAAUUGCCACAAGUUAUGUAAUCUUUCUUUUACUAACUAUUUCCAUCACAUUUCUAGCUAGGUCCACUAACAGGUAAAGUAGAAAGAUGUGAGGUCCCUAACCUUAUCAUCAUGUAGACAAAAGAAGAGACCAAAGUUUUUAAAAAAAAGACAGGAAAAAGUAGAAAAAUUUGUGAUCAUUCAUUAUUAGACCCUACACUAAUCUCUUUAGAAAAAUAAACUAAAAUUUUAGUUUAAAUAAAGGAGUUCAAGCUGUAUAUUGAUAACGCCCAAUUCAAAUUCAAGUGUAGUACGGUCUAGCAAUAAUAAACUCAACAAAUGUUGGGGUCGAGGAGUAUGCUUGUGUCAAGGUGACAGAGAAUGCGAAUUUGCGAAUUUCCUAAGCUUAUCUACAAAUAAAAGGUCUUUCUUUUAGCUAGGUCCAUAAUCCAUGUAGUGCUCUCUACUCUCUAGUCUCUAUCAACCAACUCAAGUUUAAGGGUGUGUUUGGUAUGGAGGAAACAUUUUCUCUAGAAUAGGGAGAGUUUUGUGCAUAAACAAAGAAGAAUAUCUCAGUAUAACAGUGAAUGUGUAUUUUUUUUAUGAUUUGCUUCAUUUGAGUAUGACUUUUGUAAGAAAAUUCUGGUAAAAGUUUAAAAAAUGAUCUUGUGGAAUAAGCACAGUGAAUUCCUUAAUAUUCGAGUAGAAAAAGCCAGGGAGGAUAACAUUGCUAUUUGUACACUUAUCGUGACACGAGUAGUCUCUUAAAUAUUACACCUUUCUACUGGUGUUGCUGGUGCCACUGAAUUUAGCCUUCCGUCUUCCUUUGCGAGGUAGAUUGAGGACUCCCAAGAAAGGAAACACAAGGUACUGGAGUCUGUUCCGGCCUCUACAGUAUGUAUGUACAUAAAAUUUGGAGUAACUAAAAAACCACUGACAAAUGGCUAUACGAAAGAUCAUAUACAAUUUAAUUACAAGCCAUUUGCAAUCAUCCUGCCCCUUUAUGCAGAAUCUUUUCAAAGAAAAUGAAAACAAACACUCACACAUUUGGCUUCUGAUUGACAUUUAUUUCAGAGAACUGGCUAGUCCUCAGAACACCUUAACUACUCGCUGCAGAAAAAAAAAGACGCAAAAAAUGGAAAAUAAUAUGUUAGAUGUCCCAUAAUUAAGGAACAGGAGAACAUUAUAGCAAGAAUGAGCAUGCAGGUAUAAGAACUUACACAUUAUUGCGGCAAGAAGCAACUUCUUUCUCAAAGUCAAUAUCAUCAUCUUCAUCUAUUGUUACACUACAUCGAAAAUGCUUGCUACAAAAGAUGAAAAAUGAAAUGUUACACUUCCCAAAAUCAAGAAUGAGCAUGCAAGUAUAACAACUUACACAAUAUUGGAAGGAUUCGAAUCAAUCACAAUGACAGCAUCAAGAACUUUUGUUGAAUUGGUGUAAUUUGACUUACUAAAGCUAUUAUCCAGAUUAUUAUCGAGUUUACUAUAAUGAUGAGUUAAAUAUUGUUGUAAAUCAAGGAAGAAGAUGUACUUACUAAAGAUUACGAGUAUGGACCUCGAUAGAGCUUCCAUAGUUGUCUUGAAUGUCCUGUUGAAUUUGCUUGGCGGAAUUCCCAACAGAUUGUUGACAGUAACUUAUAUCAAUAAGAGCUAGUGUGGUUAUAUCUGCAAAAUCUCGAGGGAUUGAAUCCAAAUAAUAGCAACUUCUAAGAAAAAGUCGUUCAAGGUACGGAAAGUGAUCACUACUAGCUCUCCAGUACCGAAUGCAUACUUCAUGCAGAAACAAGAACUUCAAGUGAGGAAACCCUUCCUCAACUACUUCCCACUCCUCGCCUAUGAAGGAUUUCCAUGAUAGUUUAAGGACCUCGAGUUUGGGUAAUUUACCAACAAUGCUCAAAUCCUUCCAUGCCAAAAAGAAUUCUCCGCUAAAAGUUAAACUCUUAAGGUUUUGUGGAAAAGCAUCCGGAGGAGGUAAGCGUAAAGUUGAAACAUCAGUUGGAGGUGCAGUUGCCCUGAAAGGUAAGAGUAAACUUGUAUAAAGUUGAACAACUAGCCACAUGAGUCCUACAUGACACAAUACACAUAAGACACCAACUAUUUCCAUCACAUUUCCAGCUAGGUCCACUAACAGGAUAAAGUAGAAAGAUGUGAGGUCACUAACCUUAUCAUCAUGUAGACAAAAGAAGAGACCAAAGUUAAAAAAAAAAAAGACAGGAAAAAGUAGAAAAAUUUGUGAUCAUACAUUAUUAGACCCUACACUAAUCUCUUUAGAAAAAUAAGUUUCAAUAAAGGAGUUCAAGCUGUAUAUUGAUAACGUCCAAUUCAAAUUCAAGUGUAGUACGGUCUAGCAAUAAUAAACUCAACAAAAGUUGGGGUCGAGGAGUACACUUGUGUCAAGGUGACAGAGAGUGUUCUGGCCUAUACAGUAUGUAUGUAUGUACAUAAAAUUUGGAGUAUCUAAAGAACCACUGACAAAUGGCUAUACGAAAGAUCAUAUACAAUUAAAUUACAAGCCAUUUGCAAUCAUCCUGCCACCUUAUGCAGAAAAAAUGAAAAUUCUGAUUUGACAUUUAUUUCAGAGAACUGGCUAGUCCUCAGAACACCUUAACUACUCGCUGCAGAGAAAAAAAAAAGACACAAAAAAUGGAAAAUAAUAUGUUAGAUGUCCCAUAAUUAAGGAACAAGAGAACAUUAUAGCAAGAAUGAGCAUGCAGGUAUAAGAACUUACACAUUAUUGCGGCAAGAAGCAACUUCUUUCUCAAAGUCAUCUUCAUCUGUUGUUAUAUCGAAAAUGCUUUCUACAAAAGAUGAAAAAUGAAAUGUUACACUUCCCAAAAUCAAGAAUGAACAUGCAAGUAUAACAAGUUACACAAUAUUGGAAGGAUUCAAAUCAAACACAAUGACAGCAUCAAGAACUUUUGUUGAAUUGGUGCAAUUGGACUUACUAAAGCUAUUAUCCAGAUUAUUAUCGAGUUUACUAUGAUGAUGAGUUAAAUAUUGUUGUAAAUCAAGGAAGAAGAUGUCUUACAAAAGAUGACGAGUAUGGACCUCGAUAGAGCUUCCAUAGUUGUCUUGAAUGUCCUGUUGAAUUUGCUUGGCGGAUUUCCCAACAGAUUGUCGACAGCUACUUAUAUCAAUAAGAGCUAGUGUGGUUAUAUCUGCAAAAUCUGGAGGGAUUGAAUCCAAAUCAUAGCAAUUUCUAAGAAAAAGUCGUUCAAGGUACGGAAAGUGAUCACUACUAGCUCUCCAGUACCGAAUGUAUAUGUUAUCCAGAAACAAGAACUUCAAGUGAGGAAACCCUUCCUCAACUACUUCCCACUCCUCGCCUAUGACGGCAUUGUCUGAUAGUUUAAGGACCUCGAGUUCGGGUAAUUUACCAACAAUGCUCAAAUCCUUCGAUGCCAAAAAGAAUUCUCCGCUAAAAGUUAAACUCUUAAGGUUUUGUGGAAAAGCAUCCGGAGGAGGUAAGAGUAAAGUUGGAACAUCAGCUGGAGGUGCAGCUUUCCCGAAUUGUGUCUUUUUGUACAAUAAUUUCGUCUGAAACCUCAGAGGAUCUUGCGGAGUAGAACCUGAAGGUGCAGUGCUUUCUAGAACGCAAGCAGCACCUGGAUAAUAAACACGAAAUGCCAAUUUCUCGAGCUGAUAUAAGUAGCGAAAAUCAUACAGGUCCUUGUGAUUGCGAAAGUCCUCUUGGACGCCAAAUACUUUCAACUUCUUUAAAUUGGGAAAUAGUCUAAAAAAAGACCCUGUACAAUUCCGAGGAUUCAAUUGAUUGAGACAUUGCAAACUUUUCAAAACCAAUCUGUUCUCUGUAGGCUCAUGACUCCGCAAGUAAUUCCAGCCCAUACGCAGCUUCCUCAAUUGUGGCAUCGUCAAAAUUUCCGAUGGUAAUAUGAAAGGAUAACUAUCGGUAAAUGGAAGGUAAAGUUUAAAAGUUUGCAGAUAGCAUAGGCAUGAUAUCGAUAGAGGAAUGUCUAUUAUUGAUGAGGGAACAGCUUCUAUCGAUCCUCGAUACUGCAGUAAGCAAGGAUUAAAACACAAAGAUAGGUAUCUCAAAUGAAUUAGAGAAAGUACUCCACUGGGAAAAAUUGGGCAUGGAGUCCAACCAAGAUCUAGUACUCUUACUAGCUUGAAAGACAAUUCCAGUGUGAUGCAAUUGAAUCCACGCAAC